GACGAACGCUGGCGGCGUGCUUAACACAUGCCAGUCGAACGGAAAGGCCCUGCUUUUGUGGGGUGCUCGAGUGGCGAACGGGUGAGUAACACGUGAGUAACCUGCCCUUGACUUUGGGAUAACUUCAGGAAACUGGGGCUAAUACCGGAUAGGAGCUCCUGCUGCAUGGUGGGGGUUGGAACGUUUCGGCGGUUGGGGAUGGACUCGCGGCUUAUCAGCUUGUUGGUGGGGUAGUGGCUUACCAAGGCUUUGACGGGUAGCCGGCCUGAGAGGGUGACCGGUCACAUUGGGACGGAGAUACGGCCCAGACUACUACGGGAGGCAGGGGUGGGGAAUAUUGCACAAUGGGCGGAAGCCUGAUGCAGCAACGCCGCGUGCGGGAAAACGGCCUUCGGGUUGUAAACCGCUUUCGCCUGUGACGAAGCGUGAGUGACGGUAAUGGGUAAAGAAGCACCGGCUAACUACGUG
rnacentral:rRNA from 1 species